rnacentral:rRNA from 1 species
CCUACGGGAGGCAGCAGUGAGGAAUAUUGGGCAAUGGAGGCAACUCUGACCCAGCGAUGCCGCGUGAGUGAAGAAGGUUUUCGGAUUGUAAAGCUCUGUCAGAGGUGACGAUGAUGACGGUAGCAUCUAAAGAAGCCACGGCUAACUUCGUGCCAGCAGCCGCGGUAAUACGAAGGGGGCAAGCGUUGUUCGGAAUUACUGGGCGUAAAGGGAGUGUAGGCGGGUUAGCAAGACAGUAGUGAAAUCCCUGGGCUUAACUUUGGAAUUGCAUUUAAAACUAUUAGACUAGAAUUAAAGAGAGGAUAGCGGAAUACCCAGUGUAGAGGUGAAAUGCGUAGAUAUUAGGUAGAACACCAGUGGCGAAGGCGACUAUCUGGAUGUACAUUGACGCUGAGGCUCGAAAGCAUGGGGAUCAAACAGGAUUAGAUACCCCAGUAGUC